UACGGGGGGGGCAAGCGUUGUUCGGAAUUACUGGGCGUAAAGGGCUCGUAGGCGGCCCACUAAGUCCGACGUGAAAUCCCCAGGCUUAACUUGGGAACUGCGUCGGAUACUGGUGGGCUUGAAUCCGGGAGAGGGAUGCGGAAUUCCAGGUGUAGCGGUGAAAUGCGUAGAUAUCUGGAGGAACACCGGUGGCGAAGGCGGCAUCCUGGACCGGCAUUGGCGCUGAGUGAGCGAAAGCCAGGGGAGCAAACGGG
rnacentral:rRNA from 1 species